AGAACGAACGCUGGCGGCAGGCUUAACACAUGCAAGUCGAACGCUCGUAGCAAUACGGGAGCGGCAGACGGGAUAGUAACACGUGGGAACGCGCCCUUCGGUUCGGAAUAACUCAGGGAAACUUGAGCUAAUACCGGAUACGCCCUUACGGGGAAAGAUUUAUUGCCGAAGGAACGGCCCGCGUCCGAUUAGCUAGUUGGUGAGGUAAUGGCUCACCAAGGCUACGAUCGGUAGCUGGUCUGAGAGGAUGACCAGCAUCACUGGGACUGAGACACGGCCCAGACUCCUACGGGAGGCAGCAGUGGGGAAUAUUGGACAAUGGGCGCAAGCCUGAUCCAGCCAUGCCGCGUGGAUGAUGAAGGCCUUAGGGUUGUAAAGUCCUUUUAACGGGGAAGAUAAUGACGGUACCCGUAGAAUAAGCCCGGCUAACUUCGCGCCAGCAGCCGC
rnacentral:rRNA from 1 species